rnacentral:lncRNA from 1 species
UUUAAGAUGAUGCCAAGUGUUUUUAAAUUAUUUAAUUAUUAUUUUAUUAUACUCUAAAAACAAAUGAAUCAAUCCUGACCCACUUGUGAAGUUUUUUACCCCAUUAGCGGUGUAUAGAUCAUUACCCGUUUUAACUAUUUUAAAUAUAAAAUAUUUAUUUUUACAUAAUAAAAAUUAAAUUAAAUAAAAAAUAGAUUUCAAUUCAACUAAGAUAACCAUGAUCUUUUAAUUUGUGCUUUAUAAACCGAUCAAACACUUUAUUUUGGACCAAUUUUUAAUUUCUCGAUUUACUUAACCCUAAAUUUCUACAUCCUACUUACUCCUAACUAAGUCUCUAUUUGAAAAAGUUUUACUUAAAUAUCACAUUCAAAAUCGUAAUCUUUCUUCUAAAGAGGCAUCAAACUUGUUACCAUUCUCGGUUGAACAAACACCAGUAACUAAACAAUUAAUAUUCCAUACAACUGGCGCCUGUGAACAAACUGAAAGAGAAAUGGCAAGGCAAAGCAAUAAUGGCGCCCCCAUGUGUCGUGGGGAAAAAAAAAUUCAGUCACGUCGCUUUUAAGGCAUAACUCUUUGUUCCAACCAUUGGAGCAUUAGGACAGCAAGUGAAACUGAAACAAAGCAGGGGCCUGCCCUUUUAUCCGAUGUGGGAAGUGCGCCCAAGAAUGACAAAUUGCCAACCUUGUGCUGACUACCAAGAUGAAAAGUAAUAUGUAAAUAAUAGUUUCGAGUUUGAAUUUUGUUGGUAAAAUACAAGUAAGUAAUAAGGAGAGUUUUGUUUUUGUUUAAGUUUUCUUUCGACUCGAUUUCAUAGUAAUUAUGGUUCAAUGUGACGAUCAUGUAACAAAAGAUCUUGACCCGAAAAAGUAUGGUCAACCAUCAUCAUGACUCAUGACAAUAGCUAAGCUUUCAAUUACAUAUUUCGAGGUUACGACAGUUUUAUAAAUAUUUUUCGAAAUUAAGAACUCGAGCUUAUGUCACAUUUCAAUAAGAUGAGAAUUAAAUCCUCAUAUCCACGUCCCUUUUCCAUUAUAUAUAAUUGGUUUUUGCGAGGGAAAGAAAAAUUAAUAUUAAGUUGUUUUAUUUAACUGAUUUUCUUAAUCGAGUUAAUAUUGAAUUGAUUUAUAACACCGACUCAAUCAAAUCCGUGUAUAUAUAGUAUGGAAAAAAGAUAUCCAGACAUAAACCUAAUUUUGCCUGCAUACAAACAGCAAAACAUGCAAGGAAGAAAAGCAGCAAUGUGUGUUACAGAAAUUAAGUGUAUCAGUUCUUUGCAUAUGUGUGUAAAAUUAGGUACUGAGACACAUGCACAUGCACAUGCACAUGCACAUGCAAAGGGAAAUAUCACAUAAGAUUUAUUUUUGUUCAAAUCAGCAUUCUCAACUUGUGUAAGUUUCUUUAAAGAGAAAGUGAUGGAAAUGAAAAUUGAGAUUAAUAUUAUUAUAAUUAUUACCAUAUUACAGGCAAAUAAUACAGACAACAAGACAAAUGGUUGCAGUGUCUUUUAAGACCAAGAUUAUUCAACCAGACAUUCACAAAACACAAGGCAAUCACAGCUUUUUAGAAAUAUCUAAUAAUAACAAUCAAUAAUUAUUAUAAUUAUAUUAAUGAUCAUAUCUUAAAUCAUUUCCUUCCCUUUUAACCUUAUCAAUGCAAUAUUCUUAAGUUCUAGCUAGGUUCUCCAAUGAUAUACAUGCUUGUAGUUAUUUAUUUAUUUUUUAUUUUUUAUUAUAAAUAAUAAAUAGGUAAAUUUUAAAAGAAUUAUAUGAAAAAUUUCCAAUUAUUUUAUUAAGGGAUGAGAUAAAAUUUAUUUGUAAAUUUAUUAACAUGGUUACUUUUAUACUCAAAUAUGUGUUAAUAUUUCAUAUACCUAUAAUUUCAAAAGCAAAAUUUAAAUAUUCUUACAUGUCUAUUUCUUUAUUACACCCUAAAUAGAACAUGUGUCAUUCUUUUAAUUUAGCAUAAUAUUUUUUUUAGUCCUCCAAUUUUAUAAAAAAAAUCUUUUAUUUAAUUUUUCAACUCUUUUAGUCUUUAAACUUACAUUUUUUGUCAAAUCACUUCAAAAUGGAAGGAAAAGUUAAUAUCUGUUAAUUUUUCUGACAUGGCAUAUACGUGAAUUGCCACGUGGAUGACAUGUUAGCAUUUAAUCAAACUUUAUAAUUUUUUGAAUUUUUUAAAAUUUAAAAAUUAAUUAAAUGAUGAUGUGUCAUCCAUGUGGCAAUCCAUGUGUAUGUCCCAUCAGCAAAGUUAAAAAAGGUUAAGUUUUUCAUGUAUUUUGGGGUAAUUUGAUAAAUAAAAAAAUACAAUUGUUUAAUGGCUAAAAAAGGUGAAAAAUUAAAUUGAUGGCUAAAAUGAUUUUUUUUUGUAAAGUUGAAAGGUCAAAUAAUUCAUUAUGCCUUAAUUUUACUAACAAUAUAUAUAUAUAUGCACUAAAAAAAUUUUAAUUUUGAGAUUAAAUUUUAUUUAAAUAUCACCCAUAUAUAUAUAUAUUAAUUUUGAGAUUCUUAAUGUAAUUUUAAAGCUAAUAAUCAUCUAAUCAACUUAGUAGAAUCUUGAAGAUGACAUUAUUGUAAGGGGCGAACACGAACCGUAAAACAAACACAAAAAACAUCAAAAAAGAAACUUAUUAGAAUAAGAUUCUUUUGAAAUUGCAAUCUCUAAAUAACAUUGAUGCGAUCUAAUCUAGUACUCAAUCGGCAUUUAUAUAAGUACUGUUAUUAAUAUAAUUAUAGAUACAUACAUACAUAUAUGUGAGCCAGGAUUAGUUGGGGGGCAAUUAAGACAUGCAUGGAUCACAUAAUUAAAGUAGUUAGAUGGGAUGAUCUGUACAACAACGUCAACAAACGAACAAAACACUUAGCCUUUUUAACUGGAUCAUUUACAUUUUCUCGUGAAUAUAUAUCAGAAUACAGCUAAUUUAAUACACAUAUAUAUAUAAUUCAGAUCAUUGUACUUUCUUCUCAUUGUUUAAUGGCUGUCAAAAUUAGUACAAAACAUUAUCCCUUCAUUUAGAGUUUUUUUUAUUAAAAAAAAAACACUAAUUUGUCUAUGGUAGUAGCUAGAUCCACCUAAAAGGAAGGCACCAACAUUCAGAUCUGGUUUUUUAUUUUUUAUUUUUGCAAAUAUACCCUCACGACAAGACAGCAUGUUUUAAAGAUACUCUAGAACCCUUUUUCUUACAGCUGAGUUGUCCUUUGUCAUAUAAAUGUAUAUGAAGAAGAAAAAACCCUAAUGUAAGCAAAAUCAAAGUGGGGUUUUAUAGUAAUCAGUAUUGGAUGAAAUGUUAAGGCACGAGCAGAUUGAUGGCAUUGCAUUUGAGAACUUAAAUUCGAAAUCUUAAAAGAUGAAUAUAACAGUUACAAACCCUAAAAAUAUUAAUGGAUUUAGGGUAAACUUUGAUGAAUUGGGUGGGGAUUUUUCAAAUCAGAAAAGCUAGGCCAAAGGCUAAUGCAAGUGGUCCUUAAGGUAGCAUUCAAUAUAACAAGAACUUUAAUGGCUCAUUAUUUGAGCCCUAGCAAACUCUAUAAUAUGGUUAAAAUAAUUUUUUUUUUCCAACCAGUCAAAACAGAAUAUUUUAAAUGGCAUUUAUAUAUGAUUGUAAAACUUAUAAAUGAAUGGUAUUCAAUGUAAGAUCAGAUCGGUCCAAAACCAAAAUUAAGACCGAACACAAUUAAGAUCCAAAGCUAAACACAGCGAAGACAAGAAUCUAGAGACCAAGUUCGAGUCUUAGGAUUAACAUGCUCUAAAUUGUAGCGUAAGCUGUAAUUGUAUAUAAAAGAAUACAGAGAUAAACAUAUUCAGAUAAUGUAAAGAAGAAAUGAACAUUGAAUUUAUUAAAUCACUGACUUUUUACUUUGACUUUGACCCUGUUUGUAUCUUCCCACAGCUUUAUUGAACCGCAACAACGUGCUCGUAUGUAUGCAGCACCAUCAACGACAAUGAAUGAAUGAAUGAUCUGAUUACAUGAAAUUGCAGUUCAAGAAAGCUGUGGAAGAAUACGAAGAGAGCCAUGUUUUUUGUUCUUUCUUUUCUUUUUCCUCUUAUCGCUACCAACCUUUUUCUGCAAAAGAGGAAAAGAAAGGGAAAACCCUAAAGCUUCAUAGGCAGCCAUGGCUGCAAAAUCCAAAAGGACAAAAAGAGAGAGAAAGAAAUGGGAAAAAGGGUGAGUUUUCAUUUCAUAGGGUCGUGUAGGUAAUGAAGGAAAGAAGGGUUUAUUUAUAGGGGAAACGAGUCAGUUUCUCUUUGGCCACCAAUCCCGAGAAAGAAUAUUGGGAGAGAACGGAGAGAAGAGGGGGUGCUCUUAAUAUUUU